UGGGGAAUAUUACACAAUGGGGCGAAAGCCUGAUGCAGCAACGCCGCGUGAGCGAAGAAGGUCUUCGGAUCGUAAAGCUCUGUCCUUGGGGAAGAUAAUGACGGUACCCUUGGAGGAAGCCCCGGCUAACUACGUGCCAGCAGCCGCGGUAAUACGUAGGGGGGCGAGCGUUGUCCGGAAUGAUUGGGCGUAAAGGGCGCGUAGGCGGCCCGUUAAGUCUGGAGUGAAAGUCCUGCUUUCAAGGUGGGAAUUGCUUUGGAUACUGAUGGGCUGGAGUGCAGGAGAGGAAAGCGGAAUUACCGGUGUAGCGGUGAAAUGCGUAGAGAUCGGUAGGAACACCAGUGGCGAAGGCGGCUUUCUGGACUGAAACUGACGCUGAGGCGCGAAAGCGUGGGGAGCAAACAGGAUUAGAUACCCUGGUAGU
rnacentral:rRNA from 1 species